AUUGAACGCUGGCGGCAGGCCUAACACAUGCAAGUCGAGCGAGCGGCGGACGGGUGAGUAAUGUAUGGGGACUGUCCGUAAGAGGGGGAUAACCACUGGAAACGGUAGCUAAUACCGCAUACUAUCGGAUAACCCAUAUGGGGUUAGAUAGUAGGUGAGGUAAUGGCUCACCUAGGCGACGAUCCCUAGCUGUUCUGAGAGGAUGAUCAGCCACACUUGGACUGAGACACGGCCCAGACUCCUACGGAGGCAGCAGUGGGGAAUAUUGCACAAUGGGCGCAAGCCUGAUGCAGCCAUGCCGCGUGUAUGAAGAAGGCCCUCGGGUUGUAAAGUACUUUCAGUCGGGAGGCGUUACCGACAGAAGAAGCACCGGCUAACUCCGUGCCAGCAGCCGCGGUAAUAC
rnacentral:rRNA from 1 species